rnacentral:rRNA from 1 species
CAGUCGCCGCGGUAAGACAGAGGAUGCAAGCGUUACCCGGAAUGAUUGGGCGUAAAGCGAGCGCAGGCGGUUAGAUAAGUCUGAAGUUAAAGGCUGUGGCUUAACCAUAGUACGCUUUGGAAACUGUUUAACUUGAGUGCAAGAGGGGAGAGUGGAAUUCCAUGUGUAGCGGUGAAAUGCGUAGAUAUAUGGAGGAACACCGGUGGUGAAAGCGGCUCUCUGGCUUGUAACUGACGCUGAGGCUCGAAAGCGUGGGGAGCAAACAGGAUUAGAUACCCCAGUAGUCCCUGUCUCUUAUACA